AAAGGACAAACCAACUGCGUGUCACCAUAGUUUGUAGCUAAUUUGACUGUAGCAAACUAAUGUUUUGUGAUUACUGCUACACAAUACUGAUAGCACAAUAUCCAUUGCAGGAUUCAACAAAUUCGAGAUGUUGACAAAUCUUCCAACUGUUUUAUGACAAUUAACAUCUACAUAUUUCUCAGUCAACACAUAGUUGCUGGCAACCGCUGUGAUCCCAAGCAACACACAAAUAAAUUGUUGUAGUAAGGUGCACUGAAUAAUUCUUCCAUGAAGUAAAACCCGUUUUUGCUGCUAAUUAGGAGAUGAUUUUAAAAAGUAAUAAUUUGUUGAGGGUGGAGUGUAGCAUGCUGCAAAAAUCUGAAAAAUAUUACACUAUUAAACAACCACUCACUGUAUUUAAGUCUGUCAUCUGUGAACAAUGGUGUGAAAGGUGGGGCAUAAAUUCAUCAGUACCCUUUGGAUAAGUUAAACUAAAAUUAUUAAAUUCAGCUCUGGCUGACAUUUUCAAUGGGCUUAUGGCUAUUGUAUUUUUUAUCUCCAUUUCAAAAUUUCUCAAAAACAUUCAGACACUUUAAUAAUUUUAUGUUUAUAAGAUGAAAAAAAAAUAAAUAUUCUUCCCAUUUACAGUGGUGAAAUAAUACCAAAAGCUCCACCCACCUCUGCUGUGUAUUUCAUGUCUCAGGAAGAGAUCAGUUGGUACAUUUUGUUUGCAUGCAUGCCAUAUGAUUUUUGCUUCAGAGUACAAACAUCCAAAAGUAGGUUUGCAGUUAUUACUGGGUUUCCCCUCAAAGACAAUAAAUAUACUCAAA